GGCUAAGAUACUAAGGGCACCUGGUGGAUGCCUUGGUACCAGGAGGCGAUGAAGGGCGUGGCAAGCUGCGAUAAGCCCGGGGGAGGUGCAAGCAACCUUUGAUCCCGGGACGCCCGAAUGGGGUAACCCGGCACCUUUAAUAGGGUGUCAUUCUGCCGUAAGGCGGAAGGCGAACCCGGGGAACUGAAACAUCUCAGUACCCGGAGGAGAAGAAAGCAAAAGCGAUUUCCUGAGUAGCGGCGAGCGAAAGGGGAUCAGCCUAAACCGCUUCUGCGCCAAGCCUGUGGGCGUUGCAGAAACGGGGUUGUGGGACAUACUUAGGUUCCGCCACAGAGGGACCGGGAAGUUACAAAGCUCCUAUUUAGUUGAACUACUUGGAAAGGUAGGCCAAAGAGGGUGAUAGCCCCGUAGACGAAAGGUAUGGAGCCUUCCUAAGUGUGAUCCCGAGUACCCCGGGGCACGUGGAAUCUUGGGGGAAUCAGGGUGGACCACCACCUAAGGCUAAAUACUACCUGGUGACCGAUAGGGUAAUAAGUACCGUGAGGGAAAGGUGAAAAGAACCCCAGUGCGGGGAGUGAAAUAGAACCUGAAACCAGGUGCCUACAAUCAGUCGGAGUCCGUUUUAUGGCGGAUGACGGCGUGCCUUUUGCGUAAUGAGCCUGGGAGUUACCGUUGCCGGCAAGGCUAAGGUCUUAUGGACCGGAGCCGUAGCGAAAGCGAGUCCGAAUAGGGCGUUGAGUCGGCAGUGGUAGACCCGAAACCGGGUGAUCUACCCAUGGCCAGGAUGAAGUGCGCCUAACAGCGCAUGGAGGUCCGAACCGGUGGACGUUGAAAAGUCCUCGGAUGAGCUGUGGGUUGGAGUGAAAAGCUAAUCGAACCCGGAGAUAGCUGGUUCUCCCCGAAAUAGCUCUAGGGCUAGCCUCGGGAUUGAAUGUUGCGGAGGUAGAGCACUGGAUGGGGUAGGGGGUAACCCCAAACCCAACCAAACUCCGAAUGCCGUAACAUGCUUCCCGGGAGUCAGGCAGUGGGGGAUAAGCUCCAUUGCCGAGAGGGGAACAACCCAGACCGCCAGCUAAGGUCCCGGAGUGAAGGCUUAGUGGGAAAGGAUGUGGUGAUACUCAGACAGCUGGGAUGUUGGCUUAGAAGCAGCCAUCAUUUAAAGAGUGCGUAAUAGCUCACCAGUCGAGUGUCGCUGCGCCUAAGAUUUAACGGGGCUAAGCUUUCCACCGAAGCUGCGGGUUGUCAUCUUUAAGGUGGCAGCGGUAGGGGAGCGUUCCCUGCGGGCUGAAGGUGUCUUGUGAAAGAUGCUGGACUGCAGGGAAGUGAGAAUCCAGGCAUUAGUAGUGAUAAUCCCCGUGAGAAUCGGGGACGCCGUAAGUCUAAGGUUUCCACCGGAAGGUUCGUCCGCGGUGGGUUAGCCGGCCCCUAACCUGAGGCCGAAAGGCGUAGGGGAUGGGAAUCCUGUUAAUAUUCGGGAGCCAGCUUGGUGGAGCCUGCGGAGUGACGCGGUAGGGAAAGGCCAGCGCCCUGGUGGCAUAGGGCGUCUAAGCUGGUAGGAGGCCUCUCUAGGGAAAUCCGGAGGGGUGGGUUAAAGACCCAACUCUGAGAGGUGAUGGGGACCCUCGUAAUUGAGGGGAACUGGUCUGGACCAUGCCGCCUAGAAAUAACUUCGCAGGUGUUGAAGCCAAGCUGACCGUACCGUAAACCGACACAGGUAGACGGGCAGAGAAUGCUCAGGCGCGCGAGAGAAUCCUCCCUAAGGAACUCGGCAACUUGGCCUCGUAACUUCGGAAGAAGGGGUGCCCUGAGUACGUGAAAGCUCUUGCGGUGAGUAGCGGAAAUGGGUCGCAGCGAAGAGGGCCUAGCGACUGUUUACCAAAAACACAGGAGUCCGCAAACUCGUGAAGAGGAAGUAUGGGCUCUGACACCUGCCCGGUGCCGGAAGGUUAAGGGGACCCCUGCAAGGGGGGAUCCGAAGCCCCGGUAAACGGCGGCCGUAACUAUAACGGUCCUAAGGUAGCGAAAUUCCUUGUCGGGUAAGUUCCGACCUGCACGAAUGGUGUAACGACUGGGCCGGUGUCUCAGGGAGGAGCUCGAUGAAGUUGUAGUGGUGGUGAAGAUGCCACCUACCCGUGGCAGGACCGGAAGACCCCGUGGAGCUUUACUGUAGCCUGGCGUUGGGUUCUGGUGCUUCAUGUGUAGGAUAGGUGGGAGCCUAUGAAGUCUCCUCGCCAGGGGAGAUGGAGGCGACGGUGAAAUACCACCCUUGGAGUAUUGGGAUUCUAACCCGCCAUCCUGGAUCGGAUGGGGGAACAGCGCUUGGUGGGCAGUUUCACUGGGGCGGUGACCUCCUGAAGAGUAACGGAGGUGCCCAAAGGUUCCCUCAGCACGGACGGUACCGUGCGUGGAGUGUAAGGGCAUAAGGGAGCCUGACUGUGAGGCAAACAGGCCGAGCAGGAGCGAAAGCUGGGCCUAGUGAUCCGGUGGUUCCAAGUGGAAGGGCCAUCGCUCAGCGGAUAAAAGUUACCCCGGGGAUAACAGGCUGGUCGGGCCCGAGAGUUCACAUCGACGGCCCGGUUCGGCACCUCGAUGUCGGCUCACCCCAUCCUGGGGCUGGACAAGGUCCCAAGGGUUGGUCUGUUCGCCCAUUAAAGGGGUACGUGAGCUGGGUUCAGACCGUCGUAAGACAGGUCGGUCCCUAUCCGCCACGGGCGUAGGGUACUUGAGGAAAGCUACCCCCAGUACGAGAGGACCGGGGUGGGGAGACCUCUGGUGUACCAGUUGUUCCGCCAGGGGCAGCGCUGGGUAGCCACGUCUCCAGGCGAUAACCGCUGAAAGCAUCUAAGUGGGAAGCGCGUUCCAAGACAAAGUCCCCCGUUGGCUGUUAAUCUGGCGUAAGCCGGAUUAUACGGCUGGCUAAGGCCCCCGGAAGACGACCGGGUUGAUAGGCCGUAGGUGUAAGUCCCGCAAGGGAUUGAGCCGAGCGGUACUAAUAGGCCGAGAGUCUUAGCCGC
rnacentral:rRNA from 1 species